GAUGAACGCUGGCGGCGUGCUUAACACAUGCAAGUCGAGCGAGAAAAGUUCCUCGGAGCUUUUCUAGCGGCGGACGGGUGAGUAACACGUGGGCAACCUGCCUCAUAGAGGGGAAUAGCCUUCCGGAAGGCAGAUUAAUACCGCAUAACAUUGUUGAAAGGCAUCUUUUAACAAUCAAGGGAGCAAUCCGCUAUGAGAUGGGCCCGCGGCGCAUUAGCUAGUUGGUGAGGUAACGGCUCACCAAGGCGACGAUGCGUAGCCGACCUGAGAGGGUGAUCGGCCACAUUGGAACUUAGACAAGGUCCAGACUCCUACGGGAGGCAGCAGUGGGGAAUAUUGCACAAUGGGGGAAACCCUGAUGCAGCAACGCCGCGUGAGUGAUGAAGGUCUUCGGAUUGUAAAGCUCUGUCUUUAGGGACGAUAAUGACGGUACCUAAGGAGGAAGCCACGGCUAACUACGUGCCAGCAGCCGCAGUAACAC
rnacentral:rRNA from 1 species